rnacentral:rRNA from 1 species
CGGCGGGUCCGCCCGCCGAUUGGACACAUUUAAACCCUUUGUAGUUGCAAUCAGCGUCUGAAAAACUUUAAUAGUUACAACUUUCAACAACGGAUCUCUUGGUUCUGGCAUCGAUGAAGAACGCAGCGAAAUGCGAUAAGUAGUGUGAAUUGCAGAAUUCAGUGAAUCAUCGAAUCUUUGAACGCACAUUGCGCCCCUUGGUAUUCCAUGGGGCAUGCCUGUUCGAGCGUCAUUUGUACCUUCAAGCUUUGCUUGGUGUUGGGUGUUUGUCUCGCCUCUGCGCGCAGACUCGCCUCAAAACAAUUGGCAGCCGGCGUAUUGAUUUCGGAGCGCAGUACAUCUCGCGCUUUGCACUCAUAACGACGACGUCCAAAAAGUACAUUUUUUACACUCUUGACCUCGGAUCAGGUAGGGAUACCCGCUGAACUUAAGCAUAUCAAUAAGCGGAGGAAAAGAAAACCAACC